rnacentral:rRNA from 1 species
GACGAACGCUGGCGGCGUGCUUAACACAUGCCAGUCGAACGGAAAGGCCCCUUUGGGGGUCCUCGAGUGGAGAACGGGUGAGUAACACGUGAGUAACCUGCCCUUGACUUCGGGAUAACUUCAGGAAACUGGGGCUAAUACCGGAUAGGAAUCCUUGCUGCCUGGUGGGGGUUGGAAAGCUUCGGCGGUUUUGGAUGGACUCGCGGCUUAUCAGCUUGCUGGUGGGGUAGUGGCUUACCAAGGCUUUGACGGGUAGCCGGCGUGAGAGUGCGACCGUCCACAGUGGGACUGGGAUACGGCCCAGACUCCUACGGGAGGCAGCAGUGGGGAAUAUUGCACUAUGGGCGGAAGCCUGAGGCAGCAACGCCGCGGGCGGGAUGACGGCCUUCGGGUUGUAAACCGCUUUCAGCAGGGGCGAAGCUUGUGGUGACGGUACCUGCAGAAGAAGCACCGGCUAACUACGUG